AUGAACGCUGGCGGCGUGCCUAAUACAUGCAAGUCGAGCGAACAGACGAGGAGCUUGCUCCUCUGACGUUAGCGGCGGACGGGUGAGUAACACGUGGAUAACCUACCUAUAAGACUGGGAUAACUUCGGGAAACCGGAGCUAAUACCGGAUAAUAUAUUGAACCGCAUGGCUCAAUAGUGAAAGACGGUUUUGCUGUCACUUAUAGAUGGAUCCGCGCCGCAUUAGCUAGUUGGUAAGGUAACGGCUUACCAAGGCAACGAUGCGUAGCCGACCUGAGAGGGUGAUCGGCCACACUGGAACUGAGACACGGUCCAGACUCCUACGGGAGGCAGCAGUAGGGAAUCUUCCGCAAUGGGCGAAAGCUUGACGGAGCAACGCCGCGUGAGUGAUGAAGGUCUUCGGAUCGUAAAACUCUGUUAUUAGGGAAGAACAAAUGUGUAAGUAACUAUGCACGUCUUGACGGUACCUAAUCAGAAAGCCACGGCUAACUACGUG
rnacentral:rRNA from 1 species